GCCGAAAUAGCUCAGUUGGGAGAGCGUUAGACUGAAGAUAUGAAGGUCCCUGGUUCGAUCCCGGGUUUCGGCA
rnacentral:tRNA from 1 species